UACGUAGGGGGCUAGCGUUGUCCGGAAUCAUUGGGCGUAAAGAGCGCGUAGGCGGCCAGAUAAGUCCGGUGUAAAAGUCACAGGCUCAACCUGUGAAUGCCGCUGGAAACUGUCUGGCUUGAGUCCGGGAGGGGCGAGUGGAAUUCCUGGUGUAGCGGUGAAAUGCGCAGAUAUCAGGAGAACACCAAUGGCGAAGGCAGCU
rnacentral:rRNA from 1 species